ACAACAUCAAGAAACUAUAGACAUUGAGGAGGCUCCUCCUGCCAAGCUAACUGUUGCUCAGCUUGCUGAAAGCUUUGUGAGCUCUUUAUUCUCUCACUUCCCUUCUCUGACGCACGCAUGGUAUGUUGUAGGAACAAUUGUAGGAGU